AUGCUUCGCUACUCUCUUGACCCAGAAAACCCCACAAAAUCAUGCAAAUCAAGAGGGUCAAACCUUCGUGUUUACUUUAAGAACACCCAGGAAACUGCCCAGGCCAUCAAGGGUAUGCAAAGCCACCAAGUAUCUGAAGGAUGUCACUUUAAAGAAGCAAUGUGUGCCAUUCUGGCGGUAUAAUGGUAGAGUCCGUAGGUGCGCCCAGGCCAAACAGUGGGGCUGGACACAGGGUGGGUGGCCAAAAAAGAGUGUUGAAUUUUUGCUGCACAUGCUUAAAAAUGCCGAGAGUAACGCUGAACUUACGGGUUUAGACGUAGAUUCUCUGGUCAUUGAACACAUCCAGGUGAACAAGGCACCUAAGAUGCGCCGACGAACCCACAGAGCUCAUGGUGGGAUUAACCCAUACAUGAGCUCCCCUGCCACAGUGAGAUGAUCCUCACUGAGAAGGAACAGAUCGUUCCAAAGCCAGAAGAGGAGGCUGCACAGAAGAAAAAGAUAUCCCAGAAGAAACUGAAGAAACAAAAACUCAUGGCCUGGGAA
rnacentral:lncRNA from 1 species